UGUGACAUGGUAGUUCGGUUAUGUGGGAACAGACCUACCAUGUAAUUAUAAAUAUAUAUACGCGCCAACUAUGCCCGCCUAGAAUCAAUUUUUGUUUGCCAUUUUUUAAAUACAAACCCCUAAAAUAAAAUCCUCCCCGCCACUAGCUCUGUCAAUUUUCUCCUUCAGCGCCGCGCCUCUCUCUCUCUCUCCCUCUCAAGUUUUUUCCCCUCGCCUCCUCUCUCUCUCUCUCUCUAACUCCCUCAAUGCAAGCUUCCACUCAUCCUCUCCCUUAGAUCUCACUCUCUCCUCCAGGGAUGUGCUUCGAUUGGUAGAGCUUCAAAAACUCGAUCUUCUGUUUGGAAAGUAGGUGAUAAACGUCCAGUCAUAGGCUAUAAUGCAAGUGAUUAUGACUCGGAUGAUCCAAACGAUGAUUCUAAAAAUAUCAAAUAGGUUUCAUAUUUGAUCCUUUCUCCCAGCAUAUUGUUAAUGAGGAUAUGGCCGUUGGCAUUUCUCUCUCUUACAUAGUUUCUUUCUCACUCAAAGAUAUCUCUCUCAGGUCAUUCCUUAGGUAAGUUUAUUGUAGUUUUUUUUUCUUUUGAUUUUUCCGUACUUUCUCUGUUCUUAUUGUGUUUUUUUUUCUUUCUGUUUUCAUUUUUUUUCUCUCUGCUAUUACUGUAUUUUUUAUCUUGUUUUGAUUUUGCUGUUUUUUUCAGUGACCGAUUCUAUGCUCAAUCUCGAUCUCUGCGGUCUUCUCUUUUUCUCAUAGGUUACAUAAUAUAUUUAUAUAUAUUAAGUUUAUUUUUUUCAAUGAAAUCUGAAAGUUUUUUUUUUCUGCCUCUGGUUGUGUGGUACCGCUCAUAGAUGCACUUGUUGAAGUAUUGUUAUAUGUGUGUAUAAAUAUAUAAUGAGAGAAAGUUUGCAGUAACAUUGUCUCUUGUGCGGAUAUUUUAGCACUUGCCGCAAGAGGAGUCCUUUUGGUAUACAUAUAUUUUCAACAAAUUUAUUUUCAUUAAUUUGCCUAAUAUUUGAUUAAUUAUAACAUAUAUAUGUUAAUGUAUAGUUGAUCAUUUCUAUAUUAUUUUGGCCACACUUUAACAUGAUGAACUGUAAUUAUUGGGGUUUGCCUUUUCUUAUCUGAACAUUUUAUUAUUGAAUGAGUGUGCAUAUGAUUUAAAUGUAUUUUGGAUUUUGUGCUUUUUCUUUUUCAAUCUGUACCUGUCAUAUUAUUUUGAUAGUGUAUAAAUCUUGUUUCCAUUUGCAUCACUUAACAAGUUUGCAUGUUAUUCCUUAGUUAGUUUUCUAUGUAAUUUAGCCCAUGACAAAUCAUUUUGGUGUCUUCUCAAUAUGCAUCUGAAGCUUCAUUAUACAUUGGGAUGAUUGUCUCCUUGUUUGUCCAUAUUAUUUAUUGCUUCAAGCUGCUGUUAUGUGUUUUUAGCUAUUCAUACAUGUUCUGUUUUGGUCCUUUUAGGUGUUAUUGUGUUCGAUGUUACAAUUAGAUGGAAUGUCUUCCAAGUGUUUACUGAAAUGUGUAAAAAAAUACUAGACUCAAAAUAACUUUCCUAAGUUGUUAAGUGUGUCGUUGAAGAUUAAAUAUAAUUAUUAUGUGAAUUAUUUGAUAAUGUAUUUUACUUGUUUGUUAUAUUCUACAUGUUCUUGUUUUGAUUGUUUUUUUAUUUUGACAAUUAUGAGAAUGUGUUAUUUAUUGAUUAUCUUUACUGGGUGCAUGCGCUAGAUCGAAGAGGAAGGAGAGCAGCUUAAUUGGGGUACCUGAGUGAGCAUCAUACUUGAUUCUUCUCUAUUAGAUUGUGCUCUUGGUAUGUUUAUGUAUUCAAUUCAUUGAAACCCAGUCUUUUUUUUUUGUUGUCUAUCUCUAUCUUUAAUUUUGUUUUUGUUUUGUAAAGUUAUAGUAAUUUUGUGUGUGUUUGGGUUAUAUUGAUACAAGUUGAAUAAGAUGUCAUUCUACAGAUUAGUCUUGUAUUUUAAGUCCAGCAAAACAGUUACAUAUAAUCAAUUGGUAUUUGAUUGCUCAAAAUUUUUAUAAUUAUUCAAUGGUGGGUGUUGAUUGGGCAUCCUUGUUGGAUGUUGAUUUUAUAGACUGUUAGUUAGCAAACUUUCAAUUAAUGCUGUUGACCUUGAUUUUGGCCAACUGACACGGAGUCAAAUUUUCUUGAUGUGGACAAACACGUUAGAAAAAAUGUGAUGGCGAAAUGAUAAAGAACACAAGGGUUUAUAGUGGUUUGGCCCCAGAAUCUGGUACUAACCUACGUCCACUUGAAUUGUUAUUGAUAUAGGAUUCAAAGGAGUGAUCAAAGAACUAGGGUUCAAUGAGUUUCACUAACCUCUGAAGAACAAGACAAUAUAUCAAAUAGAAUCACUCUAGUCUUAAAUAAUUCGAAGGCCAAAAGUCCCUUCCUUGAGCUAUCUUUCUCUAUUUAUAGGCUCAAGGGGGAUUACAUUAAUUUGUUACAGAUAUUCUUUCCUAAAUAAUCAGAUACUCAGGAAAUCAUGGGAGUCAAUUUCGGGAUUGACUAAGAUCUUUAUAAAAGUAUCACGAGGCACGCGGAACCUGCGACCAUACUGGUCGCAGGUAAGCUUCGACUGCCUUUUGCUUGUAAUAUCUCUUCUGGUCGAUACCCUAGCAGAAUUCCGCCAAGUUUCAGCCACAUGUCCGGGAAUAACUUGCCACGUCAUUCGCGCCUGUUUUUUGGAUAACAAAUGCCAAUGUCUCUCUGAUGCAGGGAGGUCUCUUAGAAGAGCUGGAAGGGGACAACUUUCACAACAUAAAACAAGCAACAUUCUAAGGGGUAUGAGGAAAAAAAACAGGGAAAUUAAAGAGAGGAGAUUGUAAGCCUUCUUUAAUGUAAGUUUGUAGUUCACACUUAGACUUAGAAUAGCCACAUUACGAAAUCUCUUCACUAGUUUGAGUUGAACUGUUUAAUCUACUUGAGCUGCUUGCCACUUUUUCAUCUUAUUGUAUUGUAGUUUUGUUCAGUUUCUUCUAUAUUUCAAAUGAUAACAAAGGAAAGCCAUAUAUGUUGCAGGUUAUAUAGCUACACACACUUGCAUGGGCUGUGGUAUAUUUACGCAUUAAUUACAGAUUUCUUAGUUUGAAUAUUGUUACAGAGACCUAUGUGUUUGUGAUUUUGAGUGUCUUUUCAUUAAGAAUCCUAUGUAUGUGUUGUGUAUAAUGCAAUUUGAGUACAUGGUUUCUUGCAUAAUCGCAUUUGUGAUGGUUUGGCUUUUCUUGACAUGGUCAAAUUUUUUUGCUGUAAUUGUUUUCAUUAUAGUGUUAAAGUUUAUACAAGGUUAGGCUUGUUAGGAUAUUUCUUGAAACAGUCUAGCACAAGUUUCGUUGCACACUAUUUAAUCAUUUUUCUUUGAUCAAAUGGUUUUAUAUAUUUCAAUUCUUUUCUUAAUUAUUUAUAUAAUAAGAUCAAAAUGGUUCAAUUCAAGUCCAGCAGGUUGAGAAGCACUUUAAUGGAUUCAAAGAAAGGUGCAGGCGUGAGAAGAAACUACCAAGUUGGCUGGGAGAUUACAUCCGUUAGACUUGGAGCCAUAAAUAAGAGAAUAUAUAAUUUUAUUUACUUUACUAAUUUCCUAUAUGUAAUUGAAUAUUGAUAGAUGUUUUGUGUGUGAUUGUCUAUUAACCCAGACUUUCUUGAAGAUAUACAUACUUUUGUUGUCUAACUAUAGUUUACAAUGUUUAUAUGAGUAAUUUUGUAAUUAACUUAAGACUCGUUAUUUUGGAUACUUAGUUCAAAUUCUAGUAU